UCUGUUGGAUGAGCAAAGAAAGUGGUUUCUUGAGAUGGAAUCUACUCCUGGUGAAUAUUGUUGGAA
rnacentral:pre_miRNA from 1 species